rnacentral:rRNA from 1 species
ACUCCUACGGGAGGCAGCAGUAGGGAAUCUUCCACAAUGGGCGCAAGCCUGAUGGAGCAACACCGCGUGAGUGAAGAAGGGUUUCGGCUCGUAAAGCUCUGUUGUUAAAGAAGAACACGUAUGAGAGUAACUGUUCAUACGUUGACGGUAUUUAACCAGAAAGUCACGGCUAACUACGUGCCAGCAGCCGCGGUAAUACGUAGGUGGCAAGCGUUAUCCGGAUUUAUUGGGCGUAAAGAGAGUGCAGGCGGUUUUCUAAGUCUGAUGUGAAAGCCUUCGGCUUAACCGGAGAAGUGCAUCGGAAACUGGAUAACUUGAGUGCAGAAGAGGGUAGUGGAACUCCAUGUGUAGCGGUGGAAUGCGUAGAUAUAUGGAAGAACACCAGUGGCGAAGGCGGCUACCUGGUCUGCAACUGACGCUGAGACUCGAAAGCAUGGGUAGCGAACAGGAUUAGAUACCCUGGUAGGAUAGCG